ensembl:snoRNA small nucleolar RNA SNORA65
CCCGCCACUACACCCGUCUGCUGGUGACUGAGUGUAAUCCAGUGGAGGCUCAGAGCGACCCGGCUUCAGGAAACAGAGCUGUUCACACUAAUGGACACUUCUGUGCCGAAAAGUCUGGAACAAGA